GAUGAACGCUGGCGGUAUGCUUAACACAUGCAAGUCGAACGGACUCUUCGGAGUUAGUGGCGGACGGGUGAGUAACGCGUGAGAAUCUGGCUUUGGGUUCGGGACAACCACUGGAAACGGUGGCUAAUACCGGAUGUGCCGAGAGGUAAAAGAGAAAUUGCCUGAAGAUGAGCUCGCGUCUGAUUAGCUAGUUGGUGAGGUAAAGGCUCACCAAGGCAGCGAUCAGUAGCUGGUCUGAGAGGAUGACCAGCCACACUGGGACUGAGACACGGCCCAGACUCCUACGGGAGGCAGCAGUGGGGAAUUGUCCGAAAUGGGCGAAAGGCUGACGGAGCAAUACCGCGUGAGGGAAGAAGGCUCUUGGGUUGUAAAACUCUUUUCUUAGGGAAGAACAAAAUGACGGUACCUAAGGAAUCAGCAUCGGCUAACUCCGUG
rnacentral:rRNA from 1 species